ACCCGUGGGGCUGGCGCUGAGCCGGUGGGCCGGCUGCAGGUGCUGGAUGCCGGCAGGGUCCUGGCUGGGGACGUGGAGGGUGGUGGCCUGAGAGGACGGCGUGUGAAGCCCAGACUCACUGGAGGCCUCAGUGUCUGAGGGAACUGCUCAGCUGGGAUUGAAGCAGGGGAGCCUAGAGGAGGCCAGAAACCAGCUCCAGCUUCUCUUGUCACCUGGAGACAGCAGAGUGCUGAACCAGAGGAGCUUACAGCUAGAACUUAGAAAUCAUCUAAUCCAGUGAUGACAAACACACAGCACACAUGCCAUCACUUUCUUAAUCUGUGUUCAAGGCAAACAUCACUAAUCAAUCCCUGAAUGCUUUCCUACCAACCCAAGAUAUGAUCUCACCAUCCUUCUCAAUACAAGACUGCAGCUUCCAGGUCUCUGCUGGUCCCUAGGAAGCACUUUGACCUCUGCUUCCCCUUCAAAUGCUGUGGAUGAAGCCUCCCCCAACCCCACCAUCCCACCAAAGGGGGCUGCUGACCGAGAGAGCUCACUCAGCCAGGUAAGAAAGCAUCCCCUGCCCCCACCCUCACCCCAAAGCCCCCAAUCCCAUCUGGGGCCCUGGGCAGGUCAGGCCCAGCCCCACCCCGUCGGGUUGCCUUCGCCCUGGGUCUGGGAUGCCUGACUCUUUGCCCCUCCCCUGCAGCUCUGGAGUCCUUUGCCCUCCUCUUCCUGCCAAGUCAGUGGGCCCUGACUGCUCCCCUGCCCCCUGUCCAGGCCCUCGGGAGGCUCCCUGAGGCCUCUGGGAAAGCAGGAAUUCACCAGCCCUCCCCCACCCCAGCUGGGAUCAGGACCUUGGACAGAAAAGAGAUGGGCCCCUUUGGAGCAUCUCUGGGGCUCGAUCUCUCUCUGACUCCCUGGCCACCCCCUGCAGGCCUCUGGUCCCCGGUCAUAGCAAUUGAGAGCACCAGACAGAGUAGGUUUGGGGCCUCAGUUGGGUGAACUUAGUCCAGCUCCUUCCCGGCUCUAAGCCCCAGUUUCCCCAUUUGUGAAGAAGCAGAGUCACUCAUAGCUUCUGCCCAGGACUCAUCACCAUGAAGGAAAAUUAUUCCCGUGAAACCUCAGCACAGCGCCCAGGAAGUAGUGAACCUCCUCAAGCAGGCGCUGUAGGGUGGAGGUCAGGGAACCGCUGGAGAGGGGUGGCCCCUGCAGCCCCCAGGCCAUCCUUCCUUCUCCCCCGCACCCCCAUCCCCCACCCCCACUAGCUGGGAGGUGGGUUGGCCCAGAUCUUUCCAGGCCACCAUUCCUACAAGUUAAUGAUCACAGACCUUAUCAGAGCCUUUUGCCGUUUAUAAAUUUAUAAAACAAAAGAGAAAUAAUAAAGCACGUGGGUAAUUAGUAACUAGGUCUGCUCUGCUGAGGAGAGGGGAGGCAUCGAGCUCAGGACCCACCCAGUUCUCCAGGAGACGGGGAGUCCGCCAGCGGAUGGGGAUGUAGAAUGGGGAGCCUCUAAUGGUGAGGUGGGGUGCCUGUGGCCAUACAGCAAAGGGGAGAAGCUCCCACCUCGAGGCUCUGUCUGCCUCAGGUAAGAAAGACCUGGGCUUCCCUGGCUAAAUGCAUGAGUCCCUAGGAGGCCAGGAAAGCCCCCAAACCCCAGCUUCCGGCCCUCCUCCCUGGCAGUGCUUCCUGAUCCCCAGAACCUACCCACUGAGGGCUCAGUGCAGGAGUUAGGGUCUGGAGAGUAUAAAUGAUCAUAGUGGCUAAAAAUUUCCACCACCCCCCAGUUCUCCAGGCAUUUGAGUUGUGAACUCACCUGCUUUUUCUCCCGUCUUGGACCCCCCUGGGAAAUGUCCCCCCUGCCCAAGGACUGGGUUAAAGGCCUCGGCUCAUGGGAUUUGGGACUCUGCAGAGGAGCAGUUCAGGGGCUGGAGGAUCAAACCUCCAAGCAAGGACCCCUGGGCUCUCAUGGGCCCUGUCCCCCUUCCCAGCAACUAGGCUAAAGGCCAAAGCUCAUGAGGACUCAACUCAGAAGGGGGGCUCGUUAGGGGCCCCUCUAGGCUCUUCCUGGGAGCUGGGACGGGGAAGGGCUCCUUACUGCAGAAGGGUCUCCACCACGGCUUUCUGGUGGGCCGCCUCCUCAGGGCUGAGGUUCUCCAGCUCUUUGAGGAUGGGUGGCGUGAAGUCUUCCCCAUCGUCGUCCGUCUCAUCCUCGGAGCCCCGAGUCUCCCCUAGCCCAUUGGGCAGCUCAGCCAGAUCCCCUCGACCGCCGCCGCAGGACUCCCCUUUGUCCAGGGGGCCUUCUCCAGCCAGGAGGUAGGGCCCCGGCUCACCCAGUGCCUGGAUCAGUGCCUCUUUGCUCAGCCCUGACUCGAGCAGGGCCGCCAGGAGCUCCGUCUGCAGCUGGCUCAGUUUAGAAACCAUGGCUCGGCUGCCACAGGGCCACGCGGCCUGGGUCCACCACGCUAGCAGCCUCCCCCACCGCGUGGGUUGCGUUUGCCUGCCAGCCGGCAGACACAAACCAAACUCCUUGCACCCACUGCCCCCCCAAAACCCCACUAGCCAAGCCCUGUGGGCACCCCCAACCCCCAACCCUGGCCCCAGCGGCCCGUGAAUCAGGGCCCCUGCCUGCUCUGUUUACAUUGGAGCUGGGGAAAUUCUCCAAGGUUCAUAUUUAUCCGUGUGCUUAGCGAAGGGACUGAACUUUGGACUUCAGCCCUGCAAAGUGCAGGCCUCAUGGCAGCAGAGAGGGACAGGGAGCUAUGGCCUGCGAUGGGAGUGGGCAGAGGGGAGAGUGGGGGAGGCGCAGGUGAGGGGCCCUGAGCAGCUGGGAUGGAAGGUGCUGGGAGCCAGGGAGGCCAUCAAGAGUGCAGCAUUGGGUCCCUCCCCCGAAAGAACCUUGUAGGGGCAUCAUGCUGAGACAGGAGAGCCAAAAAUGCUUGCUGCUUACGAGAGCAGCAGCAGCAGGGAGCUCUAGACAGCUGGGCUAGCUCUUCUCAAGGGCAGAGGACGCUCACGGCCAUUUUGGGACCCUUCCAUCCAUUUUGGGACCCUUCUACCCCACUCCCGGCCUGACACCAGGCCUCCCUGUAGGAAAAAAUAUGUUAAGAUUACCAUGUGCCAAGAACAGUGCUGGCUCUGUAAGGGCAAAUUCACUUCAUUGCAUUCUGCUACCAACUGUGAGUAGGUACAGAGAUUAUCCCCAUUUUAUAGAGGAGGAAAUCGAGGCUCUGCGCGGUUAAGUAACUUGUACAGGGUCAUACAGCCAGCAAGGCACAAAACAUGCAAGGUGAGACUGAGUUGAGAUGAGUGUGGCACUUGCCCCAGGUGCAAAUUUAUUUUUUUAUUUUUUGAGCUAGGUUCUCACUUUGUUACCCAGGCUGGAGUGCUGUGGCGCGAUCAUAGCUUCCUGCAGCCUUGACUUCCUGGGUUCAGGUGAUCCUCCC